ensembl:lncRNA
CUGUGAUGGAUUUCCUGGAGGCUAUUAAAAGUGGAAAGACCCUAUACAUUUUCUUUCAUUAAUAAUAAUAAUAAUAAUAAUAAUAAUAAUAAUAAUAAUAAUAAUAAAACGUGUACUUAACAUUGCAUGAGAUGAAAUCAUAUUUGCUGCAUUCGCUCCAAAACGCUUUUUGCACCAAGUGUUUCGCUGAAUAGGUCUAUACACACCACAUAAUGUCCUCGCAGUUCAGUGCGCGUGAGUGGGCGAGUGGGGAAGCGCGAGAGGAGGGGUGAGGGAAGGAGGGGGUUCACACACACACACACACACACACACACACACACACACACACACACACACACACACACACACACACAGCCGCACUGCACUUCCCUGCUCGCGCCGCGUCGCUGGAUUUCUUUCUUCACAUCACUUCGUCUCGCAUCUCUCCGUGUUUCAUUCUCGCGCCAAAGAACAAGAAGAGCGGGAAAAGGUGACGCCGGACCGCCGGAGACGCACAGAGAGAGAAGGAAACUCCACAUCAACACCACCUUUCCAAGAUGAGCGAGCGUGGACACACAGGGGAGGCCAACAGCAGCCAAAUGUCCGCCACAGGCAACAAAGAGAAGGCAUCUGAUGCUGCAGGAAAACCUGAGCAGGAGGAAGAGGUCGAUAUUGACCUGGAAGCCCCGGAGACGGAGAAAGCAGCCCUCGCCAUCCAGAACCAGUUCAGACGCUUUCAAAAGAAGAAGAAAUAGACAAACUUGAACAAUUAGGACAUCUUACACAUGCUUUAGGAAGAAAAUGUGAGGAGGGGUAGAAAGCAAGAGAAAGAGAGAGAAGCAUAACAUAAGCGAGCAUGAAAUGUAUCUAGUCUCCCCUCUGCUGCUCCUAAAGCCACAUAUCUACCCCCCCCACCCAAAAAAAGAAAAAAAUCUCCUCUUUAACUUCCCCGCUUUAUCUCCGUCCCAUAUGAGAAGCCAUUCUUCUUCUUUCACUCAUAGAGUAAGCACAGCACACGACAGUCGCUUUAGAAAAGCACAUCUUCUCUUGUCUCUUCUUUCCGUCUCUCUCUGUGGUUUUGAGUGUAGCAUGGGACUAAAUCUCAGGUUUGGCUCGGUGUCAGUCGAUGGAAACCGUGUGUCAGCCGGGACUUGACUCCCGGGGUGAUGUCAAAACAGUGACAACUUACAAACAUUAGCACAAUUGAGUAGUCCAGACAAACGCCUACCGCCUGUUCAAGUCAAAAUAACCUUAACCUAAAAGGUAUGUGAUUUCCUUACCAACCUGAAUUAUUGAAGCACCUGUGGUCAGCACAAAGAAUCAAGAGACAACAAGAGCCAAGAGGACCUGUAAGAAAACAGGACACUGCUUCAGAAAGUGUCUACACAGAAGGAUAAAAGCUGCAGCCAAUGGAAGAGAUGUCUAAAUACGAUGUAUUCAUUUGCAAGAAACUUUGCCCUCGUCCUUGCAAUCAAUCCUGUUCUCCAUGUGUCAUUUGAUCAGAAUAGUACGUAGAGCGAGUGCCUCUGGUCACUGAAAUGAAAUCAUCGAUCAGUUUAGCCAGUCAUCGGACAGGAUCAGGAUACACUAUCGUGUUGCAGCAGUGGUAACCUGAGCCAAGACGCAUACACAGUAUUGACUGACUGCGCUUCCCAACACACAACCACAGAUUUAAAGUCACUGGAGAGAUCAGACAAGAGAAACACGUUGAAGAUGUGAGAAGGAAACAAAAACGCACAAGAUUGUUCACCACGAAUAGUAACUCCAAAUCCCCAGUGCACAACUUCUGGGCAUUCACACUUUUCCUCGCAUUUAAAUCUGCAUGUGGCACACUGACCUGCUCUGAAAAGCCAGGCCUCUAUCUACGCCUCAGUCUCUUGUCUCAAACUAAUUAAUGCUCAAUUAAUUAUUAUUGGAAUGUAACCUCUUUUUCUAUUUAAAGGAGAAAAUCUCUUUGCUAAGACUCAGCUUUGUAAGAAAGUUACCUUCAUAACCCAAUGGGUCGAUUUACAUAGUCAAAAUUCUUUUGGUAAAAUGCAAAAAGAGUUAAAAAAACAAAUUCCACUUCAACCCCAAUGGUUUUUCCUUUCAUUUCUACCUCUCAUUAACUCUUUGUACCCACAAGACCGCUUUCAUUUGUCCCUCUGUCAUUUUUUUAUGGCCCAUUUUAAGCAUGGCCUCAUUCUGCUUCCCCUGAAGGCUUUUCAAUCCUCAAUCUCUCUUGUAUGGCAUGUCAACUACACUGGGAUUUCAAAGCCCGUUUUAGAGUUUGAUGGAAUAUGUGACAGAGCAGCUGUGGUUCAUACUGAUGUCAUAGAUACUAUAUUACAACUAGAACAUAAUAUUAUUCGACAUAGAGACAAAAUGAAUAGGGUACUGUAAAUUGAAAGCAUGCAGCAGUAUAUCUAAAACACGAUAUUUCUUGGUUCCAUUCAAUAGCCUUGAUUCUAUCCUGCACUUGAGUGAUUGACAUCGGUCUUGUUCCAAUUCUUCAGCCGUCUGCUUUCUCCUUCUCGCCCUUUACUGCAAGCUAAUCUGGUUAAGGGCUCAGAAAUGAGGCGUGAUAGAAUUUGGCUCACUGAGAAAAGAACCUCGCCAUUCAUUGAGUGUGUAGUACUACAGCCACAUUUCGCAUGUUUCUAUACCUUUGCAGCCAGCUGAGGUUUAGAGAAGGGAUGGAAGGGGAGACAUUUUCUUGAAAUCUGCUGGAACCUUUAGCAAUAACGGCAAUGCUACGAGAGACGGGAGCAUCUCCAAGCGCUGGAGACACUGACAGACCUCUGCAUCCACUGCUGGGAAUCCACCGAAGUCAAGAAUCGCCAUCAAAUGCAUCCCGAACCCAGCCUUGCUUAUCUGCUAACCUCUUUAAACAAACCAGGUUGCAUCAUUCUCUGUCGUAUUGCUUGUAUUCUUCACUCACUGGGCUGAACAUCCGAUUGAACAAGAUAGACGUCAGUCACACUGUAAUCUGCCCUUGUUAGUCUUGUUUGAAUUCGACUGAGAAUCCAUUGUUUUGUUCUUUUAUAACUCUGGUUCACAUUUAGGUGCUGCAGGGGUGCAGAUUGGAAAUGUUGGGGUUUACAGUAUGUUACUGCUUUUUCUGUGAGUCCUAGAGAAGAAAUGUGGAAAUGCUUGUGACAAAUCAUCUUUUCGAGGUGCAGAACCCUGUAUUUUCUGUUUUAAACUACUGUACUCUAUGUGUGGAGGAGUGAGAGAUACAGCACUCAAACAGCCCUCUGUUCUUUUAACACUGCACAAAUAAAACUUGCUGCAACUUGCUUAAGAAAACCUCAACCAUGGUUGUUUUGUGUUCUUCUUGUUUGGUCAUUUGUCUGUUUUAACCCUACUCUUAAAAUACUUGCAGCUUUUGGUACUUUCCACGAUCAAAUUUUGUAACUGUGUUGAUUGCAUUAAGUCUCCCCUGUUAAACAUCCUUAAGAUUGGG